ACUAAGCAAAGUUCAAUAUGUGAAAAGCUCGUAGGCAAUGGGUCAAUGAUGGAUAAUUAUGUCGGAUGGCAUUCAUCAUGCAACAGUUAUAACCUAGGGUGACACAGAACUAGCUCCAAUUCAUCAAUAUAAUGUAGGCAUGUAUUCCGAAUAUAGUCAUACGUGCUUAUGGAAAAGAACUUGCAUGAGAUCUUUUGUCCUACCCUCCCGUGGCAGCGGGGUCCUAUUGGAAACUAAGGGAUAUUAAGACCUCAUUUUAAUAGAGAACCGGACCAAAGCAUUAGCACUUAGUGAAUACAUGAACUCCUCAAACUACGGACAUCACCGGGAAGUGUCCCGACUAUUGUCACUCCGGGGUUGCCGGAUCAUAACACGUUGUAGGUGACUAUAACUCGCAAGAUCGGAUCAAGAACACAAAUAUAUUCAUGAAAACAUAAAGGGUUCAUAUCUGAAUUCAUGCCACUCGGGCCCUAGUGACAAGCAUUAAGCAUAGCAAAGUCAUAGCAACAUCAAUCUUAGAACAUAGUGGAUACUAGGGAUCAAACCCUAACAAAACUAACUCGAUUACAUGGUAAAUCUCAUCCAACCCAUCACCGUCCAGCAAGCCCACGAUGGAAUUACUCACGCACGACGGUGAGCAUCAUGAAAUUGGUGAUGGAGGAUGGUUGAUGAUGAUGACGGCGAUAAUUUCCCCUCUCCGGAGCCCAAAACGGACUCCAGAUCUGCCCUCCCGAGGAAGAACAGGAGGUGGCAGCGACUCCAUAUCGUAAAACGCGAUGAAUCCUUCUCUCUGAUUUUUUUCUCCCUGAACGUGAAUAUAUAUAGUUAGAGUUGAGGUCGGUGGAGCUUCGUGGGACCAUGCAAGCCAGGGGGCGCACCCAGGGGGUAGGGCGUGCCCCCCACCCUUGUGGACAGGUGGUGGGUCCCCCUCUGUUGAUUCUUUCGCCAAUACUUUUUAUUAAUUCCAAAAAUAUUCUCCAUGAAGUUUCAUGUCAUUCCGAGAACUUCUAUUCCUGCACAAAAAUAACACCAUGGCAAUUCUGCUGAAAACAGCGUCAGUCCGGGUUAGUUCCAUUCAAAUCAGGCAAAUUAGAGUCCAAAACAAGGGCACAAGAGUUUGGAAAAGUAGAUACGAUGGAGACGUAUCAACUCCCCUAAGCUUAACCCAUUGCUUGUCCUCAAGCAAUUCCGUUGACAAACUGAAAGUGAAAAAGAAAAACUUUUACAAACUUUGUUUGAUCUUAUUGUUGCAAAUAUGUAAAGCCAGCAUUCAAGUUUUCAGCAAAGAUUAUGAACUAACCAUAUUCACAAUAACUUUUAGGUCUCACAUUUACUCAUAUCAAUGGCAUAAUCAACUAACGAGCAAUAAUAAUAAAUCUCGGCUGACAACACUUUUUCAAAACAAUCAUGAUAUGAUAUAACAAGAUGGUAUCUCGCUAGCCCUUUCUGAGACCGCAAAACAUAAAUGCAGAGCACCCCUGAAGAUCAAGGACUGACUAGACAUUGUAAUUCAUGAAAAAAUAGAUCCAGUCACAGUCAUACUCAAUAUCAAUUAAUAACAAUGCAUACAAAUGACAGUGGUGCUCUCUAACUGGUGCUUUUUAUAAGAGGAUGAUGACUCAACAAUAAAAGUAAAUAGAUAGGCCCUUCGCAAAGGGAAGCAGGGAUUUAUAGAGGUGCCAGAGAGCGAGUUUUUAAAACAGAGGUGAAUAAUAUUUUGAGCGGUAUACUUUCAUUGUCAACAUAACAACCAAGAGAUCUCGGUAUCUUCCAUACUAGAUACAUUAUAGGCGGUUCCCAAACAGAAUGGUAAAGUUUAUACUCCCCCACCACCAACAAGCACAUUCCACGGCUGGUCCGAAACAACGGGUACCGUCCAACUAACAACAGUCCUGGGGGAGUUUUGUUUGCAGUUAUUUUGAUUUGAUUUGAGCAUGGGACUGGGCAUCCCGGUAACCAGCCAUUUUCUCAUGAAUGAUGAGCGGCGUCCACUCAUCGUGAGAAUAACCCACCUAACAUGGAAGAUAUUGACAGCCCCUAGUCGCUACAUGAGCGAUUCGGGCAUACAAAACAGAUUAUUAUUUGAAGGUUUAGAGUUUGGCACAUGCAAAUUUACUUGGAAUGGCAGGUAAAUACCGCAUAUAGGUAGGUAUGGUGGACUCUCAUGGAACAACUUUGGGUUUAUGGAAGUGGAUGCACAAGCAGUAUUCCCGCUUAGUACAAGUGAAGGCUACAAAAAGACUGGGAAGCAACCAACUAGAGAGAAACAACAGUCAUAAACAUCCUUUAAGAUUAAUCAACACUGAGUGCAAGCAUGAGUAGGAUAUAAAUCACCAUGAACAUAAAUAUCGUGGAGGCUAUGUUGAUUUUGUUUCAACUACAUGCGUGAACAUGUGCCAAGUCAAGCCACUCGAAUCAUUCAAAGGAGGAUACCAUCCUAUCAUACUACAUCACAACCAUUUUAAAAGCAUGUUGGCUCGCAAGGGAAACCAUGAUAAACUCCUAGAUCAUUAAGCAUGCAAUGAUUGACUAUAAUCUCUAAUUGUCAUUGCAAACAUGUUUCAUUCGUAAUGGGCUGAAUCAAGAACAAUGAACUAAUCAUAUUUACAAAAACAAGAUAGGUCGAGUUCAUACCAGCUUUUCCUCAUCUCAAUCAUUUCAUCAUAUAUCAUCAUUAUUGCCUUUCACUUGCACGACCGGACGGUGUGAAUAAUAGUAAUAGUGCACAUGCAUUGGACUAAGCUGGAAUCUGCAAACAUUUAUUCAAAGGAGAAGACAAGGUAAUAUGGGCUAUUUGUUAGAUCAACAAUAAUGCAUAUGAGAGCCAUUCAACAUUUUCAUCGUGGUCUUCUCCUCUUGACCCCCAAAGAAAAGAAAAGAAUUUCAAAGAAAUGCACUGAAAUGUUUUUGGAGUUUUUGUUUUUCUAAAGAAAGUAAAACAAGAACGAGAAAAACUAUUUACACGGGAAAGCUCCCAACAAGCAAAAUAAGAAUGAGAAAUCUUUUUGGGUUUUCUUUUAGUACUACUACUAAGUAAUCAUGGAAAGUAAACUAAACUACAACUAAUGUUUUUGGUUUUUUCUCAAAGUUUUUCAAACACACAAGAAGAAAGCGAGAAAAAGUAAUAAACUAACAUGGAUAAUACAAUGAAAAAGUAUGAACACCGACAAAUGGAAUAAGUGUGUGAACAUGAAUGUGAUGUCGGUGAGAAAUACGUACUCCCUCAAGCUUAGGCUUUUGGCCUAAGUUGGUCUAGGGCCAUGACUGGCCCAGAUUGAAUCCGAAAUCAUAGUUGGGGUUGUACUGUGCUGCGGCAGCUACCGCCUGGCGAGCUGCUUCAUGGAGGUGAGCGGCCUCCGCUGUUCUCUCAUACUCGUUUGCCUCCUCUCUAGUUAUAAAAUAUCUCCCAUUUACCUGAAAGUUAAAGAAGGAAGGAGCAGGAAGGUUAAUAUGGACAACACACCGUCUGUCAAAGAUUAGUCGAUAUUGAAGGGAUUGUUCAUUCCUCUCAAGAAACUGGUAGCGUACCAUAGCAUUAUAAUCUAGAAAAGCAGGUGGUAACUCAAUGUCAUUCCCUCUUAUGGGUACACCAGGAUAAUUAGCUAAACGAGUUGCAUAAAUCCCACCAAAUAAAUCUCCAUCUUUAGCAUUAAGAUCUAACCUCCUCUCAAUAAUGGCCCCCAAGUUAUAUCGCUUGUCACCUAACACCGCACACUUGAGGACACUAAGAUCUGGAACGCAAAGGUGGCAAUGCUCAUGCUUACCAUUAAUGCAUCUACCUAUAAAGAGAGGAAAAUAAUGUAUGGCAGGAAAGUGAAUGCUCCCUAUGGUAGCUUGUGUGAUAUUCCUAGUUUCUCCCACAGUGAUGCUAGCAAGGAACCCAUUGUAUUCAGCUUUGUCAGGCUCGAAAUGAAUGCCCCAUUGUGGGAUUUUGCAUGCAGUAUUAAAAUCUUCAAGGUCGAUGGUAUAUGAUUCAUCAUAAAGAUCAAAUAAAACAGUAUGGGUAUUGCGCUUAGAUGAAAAUUUGAACCUCCACACAAAGGAAUCAGUGAGGAAAUAGUAUUGUCGGCACUUAUCGGACACGAAGUCCUCAAGGACGGCAUUUUGUAUGUAUGCAUCAAACUCAUCCUUGGAACCUGCAUGGACCAUGAAUUCAUCCGACGGCCAUUCACAAGGCUGCACUUGAGCUUCCCUUGGUGGUUCAAGGUCCGGGUCACGUAUCGCGAGCCUCGGUGCUUGCUUCCUCGAAGAACCACCUUGGUACAUUUUCCUAGACAUUUUUCUUCCUCUGAAUUUUUUUUUGAAAUUUUUAGUGACUCGAAAUAAAAGUGAACCAAACUCAACAAGAUUGAUAGCAACUACUCUUACAAGUAUCUAGAGGCUAUAUCAUGCAUCAAAACUACUUUGGACCAUAUAAAUUUGACAUGCAAGCUCAAGAACAAGGUCACCACAACAACAAACAUUUGCAAUAAAUAAAGAACUAGAACAAAAACUAAUUGGACCAUUGGAGGAGUCACAUACCGAAGAACAAUCCCCCAAAACAGUUUUGCAAAUGGAGCUUUGCACAAGGAGAUUGAAAAUGGCAGCAAGAUGAGCUAGGACACGGGUUUGAGAUACAUGAUGAUUUUUUCUGGAGGAAGACGAAGUGGAUGGGUGCUGGAAUAAGUGAAGGGGACCCACGUGGGGCCCACAAGGCAGGGGGCGCCCAUGGGGGUAGGGCGCGCCCUCCACCCUUGUGGCCCACUGGUGCAUCCCCCGGUGCAAGUUCAGUGCCAGAAAUUCUCAAAUAUUCUAUAAAAAAUCAUACUAAAUUUUCAGGGCAUUUGGAGAACUUCCAUUUUGGGGACAUUUUUUAUUUCACGGAUAAUUUAGAAAAUACUAUUUUUGCUUUAUUUAUUCUAAAUAACAGAAAGUAAAAGGUGGGUACAGAAGGUUGUGCUUUCUAAAUUCAUCCAUCUCAUGCCCACCAAAAGGAAUCCAUUAACAAGGUUGAUCAAGUCUUAUUAACAAACUUCUUUCAAAUAACAUGGAACCGGAGAAUUUUUCUAAUAACACUAAGUUACCUCAACGGGGAUAUGCAUGUCCCCAACAAUAAGAAUAUCAUAUUUCUUUUUGACAAUGGGAAGAGGGAAUUCAAAACCUCCAAUAGUAAUAGUUGAAAUUUUUCCAAUAGAAUUAAUACUAUGAACUUGAGGUUGUUUCUUCGGAAAGUGUACCGUAUGCUCAUUACCAUUAACAUGAAAAGUGACAUUGCCUUUGUUGCAAUCAAUAACAGCCCGUGCAGUAUUCAAAAAGGGUCUACCAAGAAUGAUCGACAUACUGUCAUCCUCGGGAAUAUCAAGAAUAACAAAGUCUGUUAAGAUAGUAAUGUUUGCAACCACAACAGGCACAUCCUCACAAAUACCGAUGGGUAUAGCAAUUGAUUUAUCAGCCAUUUGCAAAGAGAUUUCAGUAGGUGUCAACUUAUUCAAUUCAAGUAUACGGUAUAAAGAGGAAGGCAUAACGCUAACACUGGCUCCAAGAUCACAUAAAGCAGUUUUAACAUAGUUUCUUUUAAUGGAGCAUGGUAUAGUUGGUACUCCUGGAUCUCCAAGUUUAUUUAGUAUUCCACCCUUAAAAGUAUAAUUAGCAAGCAUGGUGGAAAUUUCAGCUUCCGGUAUCUUUCUUUUAUUAGUGACAAUAUCUUUCAUAUACCUAGCAUAAGGAGGCAUUUUAAGCAUAUCAGUCAAACGCAUAUGCAAAAAGAUAGGUCUAAUCAUUUCAGCAAAGCGCUCAAAAUCCUCAUCAUCGUUUUUCUUGGAUGGCUUAGGAGGAAAGGGCAUGGGUUUCUGAACCCAUGGUUCUCUUUCUUUACCAUGUUUCCUAGCAACAAAGUCUCUCUUAUCAUAACGUUGAUUCUUUGAUUGUGGGUUAUCAAGACCAACAGCAGGUUCAAUCUCUACAUCAUUAUUAUUACUAGGUUGAGCAUCAACAUGAACAUCUUCAUUAACAUUAUCACUAGGUUCAUGUUCAUCACCAGAUUGUGUCUCAGCAUCAGAAAUAGAAAUAUCAUUAGGAUUCUCAAGUGUAUCUACAACAUGUUCACUAGAAGCAUGCAAAGUCCUAUCAGUUUUCUUCUUCUUUUUAUUACUAGGACUAGGUGCAUCAGUAUUAAUUCUCUGAGAAUCUUGCUCAACUAUCUUAGGAUGACCCUCAGGAUACAAAGGUUCCCGAGUCAUAUUACCACCUCUAGUCAUAAUCCUAACAACAUUAUCAUUGUUCUUACUAUUCAAUUCAUUAAGCAAAUCAUCCUGUGCCUUAAGUACUUGUUCUACUUGAGUUGUAACCAUGGAAGCAUGUUUACUAAUAAGUUUAAGAUCAUUAAUAGUUCUACUCAUAUAAUCACCCAGGUAGUCAAGCAUGUAAGCAUUACGUUUCAAUUGUCUACUAACAUAAGCAUUAAAGUUUUCUUGCUUAACAAUAAAAUUAUCAAACUCAUCCAAGCAUUGACUAGCAGACUUAUUAUGAGGAAUGUCACCUUGAUCACAUCUAUAAAGAGAAUUUACCUCUACUACCUGUGUUGGGUUAUCAAGACCAUGUAUUUCUUCAAUAGGCAGUAGGUUCUUAACAUCCUCAGCUUUAAUACCUUUUUCUUUCAUAGAUUUCUUUGCCUCUUGCAUAUCUUCAGGACUGAGAAAUAGAAUACCUCUCUUCUUCAGAGUUGGCUUAGGAGUUAGUUCAGGAAGUGUCCAAUCAUUAUCAUUACUCAGUAUAUUAUUCAAUAGCAAUUCAGCUUGCUCAACAGUUCUUUCCCUGAAAACACAACCAGCACAACUAUCCAGGUGGUCUCUGGAAGCAUCGGUUAGUCCAUUAUAGAAGAUAUCAAGUAUUUCAUUUUUCUUGAGAGGAUGAUCAUGCAAAUCAUGAAGUAAUAGGAGAAGCCUCCCCCAAGCUUAUGGGAGACUCUCUUCUUCAAUUUGCACAAAGUUAAAUAUUUUCUUUAAGGCAGCUUGUUUCUCAUGAGCAAGGAAAUAUUUUUCCAGAGAAGUAGUAAAUCAUAUCCUGGGGACUACGCACACAACCAGGAGUAAGAGAAUUAAACCAUAUAUUAGCAUCACCCUUUAAUGAGAAAGGAAACAACUUAAGAAUAUGAUAAUAACGAAUUUUUUCCUCAUGAGAAAAUAGGGUGGCUAUAUCAUUCAAUUUAGUAAGAUGUGCCACAACAGUUUCAGAUUCAUAACCAUAGAAAGGAUCAGAUUCAACCAAAGUAAUUAACUCGGGAUCAACCGAGAAUUCAUAAUCCUUAUCAGUAACACAGAUAGAUGAAGUAGCAAACUUAGGAUCAUAUUGCAUUCUAGCAUUCAAAGACUUUUCUUUCAGCUUAGCUAACAGAUUUUUAAGAUCAUCUCUAUCAUUGCAAGCAAAAAAGUCUCUAGCAGUUUCUUCAUCCAUAAUAUAACCCUCAGGUACAACAGGCAAUUCAUAUCUAGGGAGAGAAUCAUCAUCUUUAGUUUCAAUAAUAUCACCAGUUUCAGUAAUUUCAUUCUCUCUAACCCUAGCAAGUUGUUCAUCAAGAAAUUCACCUAGUGGCACAGUAUUAUCAAGCAAAGAAGUAGUAUCAUCAUGAGCAUCAUGCAUAGCAGAAGUGGCAUCAUCAAUAACAUGUGACAUAUCAGAAUCAAUAGCAGGUGUAGGUGUCGCAAGUUUACUCAAAACAGAAGGUGAAUCAAGUGCAGAGCUAGAUGGCAGUUCCUUACCUCCCCUCGUAGUAGAGGGAUAGAUCUUGGUUUUGUUAUCUUUCAGAUUCCUCAUAGUGAUCAACAGAUAUAAAUCCCAAGUGACUCAGAGAAUAGAGCUAUGCUCCUCGGCAACGGCGCCAGAAAAAGGUCUUGAUAACCCACAAGUACAGGGAUCGCAAUAGUUUUCGAGGGUAGAGUAUUCAACCCAAAUUUAUUGAUUCGACACAAGGGGAGCCAAAGAAUAUUCUCAAGUAUUAGCACCUGAGUUGUCAAUUCAACCACACCUGAAAGACUUAAUAUCUGCAGCAAAGUAUCUGGUAGCAGAGUAGUAUGAAAGUAACGGUGAUUGUGGCAAAAGUAACAGCAGUAGUUUUGUAGCAAUUGUAAAAGUGGCAACAGAAAAGCAACUAAGCAAAGAUCAAUAUGUGAAAAGCUCGUAGGCAAUGGGUCAAUGAUGGAUAAUUAUGUCGGAUGGCAUUCAUCAUGCUACAGUUAUAACCUAGGGAGACACAGAACUAGCUCCAAUUCAUCAAUAUAAUGUAGGCAUGUAUUCCGAAUAUAGUCAUACGUGCUUAUGGAAAAGAACUUGCAUGAAAUCUAUUGUCCUACCCUCCCGUGGCAGCGGGGUCCUAUUGGAAAC
rnacentral:lncRNA from 1 species